GGUGGAUAAACCGGAGAAAGCGGGGAUGACGUCAAGUCCUCAUGGCCCUUACAUCCCGGGCUACACACGUGCUACAAUGGCAGGUACAGAGGGCUGCGAAGCCGCGAGGUGGAGCGAAUCCCAGAAAACCUGUCUCAGUCCGGAUUGAAGUCUGCAACUCGACUUCAUGAAGGCGGAAUCGCUAGUAACCGCGAAUCAGCAGGUCGCGGUGAAUACGUUCCCGGGCCUU
rnacentral:rRNA from 1 species